rnacentral:rRNA from 1 species
AUGUGGACCUGUCUUCGUCAGCGCUAUGAGCCCUCUGGUGAUGCCUUAUACCUUUCUGUGGUUCGUCAGGAGCAUGCUCUUCAGCAGGGUGACUCUACUGUUGAUGACUUCUAUGCACAGAGUUCUGCUAUCUGGCGCCAGCUUGAUUCUCUCCGCAGUGCUGGUUGUCGUACUUGCUCCUGCUGCCAGGCUGUCCAGGCCAACUUGGAGUUUCAUCGCGUCUACGAGUUCCUGUCUCGGCUCCGUAAGGAGUUUGAGCCCCGGCGUGCUCAGUUGUUUGCUCGUGGCCGUAUUUCUCUCAUGGAGGCGCUUUCAGAGAUUCGUGCUGAGGAGACUCGCUUACGUGGUGCUGGUUUGCUGGAGGUUCCCUCUGUGCUCGCCACUCGGGUUUCUUCCACUCCACCUGCUGCACCGCCCCAUUCUCGCUCGAUUGCUCCGCCGCUCUUGCCCACUCCUUCUGGAGGCUCAGGUCGCCGUUCACAUUGUGACUACUGCAACAAUGAUGGUCAUAUUGAGUCCCAGUGCUACACAAAGCGGAAACACCUGCGCAAGGCGCGAUCAUCCUCCUCAGGGACUUCGUCA